AUACUCCCUCUUAAGAAACUGAAUAAAAAUGAAAAUACACUGGCAAGAGCUGAACCAAUGCUGAAGGUCCCGCAAAGAGAGGGAUCAUAACUGGUCACCAUUGAUUACCAUGGUAUCCGGCAUGGAGCAGGCACCUAAUAAAUAUGUGUUAAUAACACAUGGAUGAAAUAAUAUAUAGAACUGAAUCAUACAGGGAAGGACUGUAGAUGAAAAUUCAUUACUUCAUCAAGUCAAUUUUGACCAGGACUUAGACUCUGGGUCAGCUGCUAUGUUCUAGUUAUUCCCCAGACUCAACUAAAACUUGGGAUUACAAGAAAUGCUCCAAUUUUACUGUUAUUUUUGUUCCACUAUUCAGGAAGGGGCAGAAUCUAAAUCUCUACUAGUCUUGUUCACCAAGCUAUACAAAAAAGAAGAAAUGAAAGAAAUAUUUGGCACACUAAUUGUCCUCUGUAAGAGAUAUUUUUUAGUUAUAAAAUGGAAAUAAAAUCAGUAGGAUAGUAUGUUAAAUAAUACAAUUAAAGUAAUUAGCCCAAUGCUGGGGAAGAUAAGUACCUAAUAAGCAAUUAGUGUUAUUAAUAAAAGCAGCAAACAAUUUGA